rnacentral:lncRNA from 1 species
AAGGGUCUUUAGUCUUGGAUUAUUACAGCAAGCAAACAAGCAGAUGGCAUCAUUGCUGAGCAGGGUUCCAGUGCGAAGGAUGAUACACUGAGCUCCCAAAUCAUAAUUGAAAGUGGGAUGGAUGGCCAAACAAACUUUCUGGUGGCCGUUAAGAAGAACAAAAUUCUUUGCAGAAGCACGUGCCAGUGUUUUACAAUGCACAGCACACAUCGAGGCCUGCGGCACACACUGGAACACAAUCGGAUUCUGGAGCUCUAGGGACAAAGAGCACUGCUAAUUUGUGCAGCCGCUGCUUUAGAAUGG